rnacentral:rRNA from 1 species
GACGAACGCUGGCGGCGUGCCUAAUACAUGCAAGUCGAGCGAACCUUUGGGAGCUUGCUCCCAAAGGUUAGCGGCGGACGGGUGAGUAACACGUGGGCAACCUGCCUAUAAGACUGGGAUAACUUCGGGAAACCGGAGCUAAUACCGGAUAAUUCUUUUCUACACAUGUAGAAAAGCUAAAAGACGGUUUACGCUGUCACUUAUAGAUGGGCCCGCGGCGCAUUAGCUAGUUGGUGAGGUAACGGCUCACCAAGGCCACGAUGCGUAGCCGACCUGAGAGGGUGAUCGGCCACACUGGGACUGAGACACGGCCCAGACUCCUACGGGAGGCAG